rnacentral:lncRNA from 1 species
UUCUCCCCAAACUGAAACACACAGAAACGAAAACCCUCUCCACGCCUCACCAUCUCCGGCCACACUUCAAAGGACGGUACCGUCGGUGCUCCGGAAACACUUCCGUCAAAGGUUUGGCUACCUCCCACUUCACCACUUCCAACCGCACUUGGGACGAAGGUUGUUGCCACUCCAGGAGCACUUCCAUCCAAGUUUCACUGAUCACGCUUGACCAUCUUUGGUCGCCAGUGAAAUUGAAAGACAAUUAUCUCUCUUCCUCACGCCAUUUGGGAGUUGGUUGCUAGACAAAGGCAUGUAGUGAAUUCACCCCCAAUUCUUUAAUUUUUGCCAGUUUUAUAAGUAGUCUGAAGCUGAAAAUGAUUGUUAUGCAUUCAUCAGUUCGAAAAUGCUGACACUGAAAGCUAAUGUUAAUUUUAUUUUAUUUUAUUUUUUUCAUUUUUCUGCUACAUUGGUCAUGGAGCUAACCCUUUUCACUUAGCUAAAAAAUGAUUGUUAGAUUCAAUUAUGUUUAGAGGGAGAAACAUUAUCUUGUAGCCAAAAUGGUUAAAUUUAUGGUGUAAAAAUCCUAUUCUUACUACAAUUGCUUCUCUUUGAGUUAAUUGUAAACUGUGGUUUAUUUUCAUUAUAGAAUGGGAGGAAAGAAUAAUGAAAUCGUCAUAGCUGUUGAUCUAAGGGUCACUUCGUUGACUGCCCAUGGAAAUGUCGAUGCCCAAAUUGCAAGCAUGGAUUCGAGAAGUGUUUUGUAGUGAAGAAGUAGACGAUCAAUAAAGGGCGUUUAUUUCUUUGUUGCAGCAAGAAAUGUGGAUUUUGGGAAUGGGUUGUGAAAAAUCAAUCAAGUAGUCAAUCCUCUUGCGAUAACUCUUCUUCAGUUUACCAUGUAACGAAAUGACACUGUUGAAGAAAUGUCACACGCAUUCCAAUCUUGAGUUCGCCUCAUCGAUGAAGAAGACCUACAGAUUUUGGUGAACGUGACAAUAUGCAAGGCAAAUGGUAGUGUGGAAGUGAAUGCAAAAGGGAAGGGAUCGAUCUAAUUAUUAGAUAAACCUUAGCUCUCGAGUUGUGACAUAAAUUUUGGCAACGUAGCAUUAUUAUGAGUGACUCUAUGUAAACUAAUUGAAUGACGGGUUUGUGGACCAUUUUGCAGGCCACAUUUGUAAUGCCAUGUCUCGUUUGCAAAUUUCUUACUCGUUCAUGUGAAUGUUUAUAUUAGUUUAUUAGUUGUGCAGUUACUUCGGCA